UCUUCCAUGAUGAUUUCUAACUAGAUGACUUUCGUUCUUCUGAGUUUGCUGAAGCCAUGCUUAGAAUCUGAGCAAGA
rnacentral:snoRNA from 2 species